UUCUCCUACCCCAAUCCACCUCUAGGAGGCUUCACAGGAAGGGAACCUGUGGCCAUGGUGGCUCCAUUCUGGGAUGAUGCUGACUUUUCCGGCCGCAGGGGAACCAUAUUUUACCAGGAAUAUGAGACACUCUAUGAUGAAUACAACCCGACAGUUCAGCA
rnacentral:lncRNA from 1 species